rnacentral:rRNA from 1 species
CCUACGGGUGGCAGCAGUGGGGAAUAUUGCACAAUGGGCGAAAGCCUGAUGCAGCGACGCCGCGUGAGCGAAGAAGGCCUUCGGGUCGUAAAGCUCUGUCCUAAGGGAAGAAAAGGACGGUACCUUAGGAGGAAGCCCCGGCUAACUACGUGCCAGCAGCCGCGGUAAUACGUAGGGGGCGAGCGUUAUUCGGAAUUACUGGGCGUAACGGGUGCGUAGGCGGCCCUGCAAGUAAGGAGUUAAAUCCCUCGGCUCAACCGAGGUCAGCACUUGAAACUGUAGGGCUUGAGUGCAGGAGAGGAGAGCGGAAUUCCUAGUGUGGCGGUGAAAUGUGUAGAUAUUAGGAGGAACACCAGUGGCGAAGGCGGCUCUCUGGAGUGCAACUGACGCUGAGGCACGAAAGCGUGGGCAGCGAACAGGAUUAGAUACGCUUGUAGUG